GGCUAGCUCAGUUGGUAGAGUGCUUGCCUUGCAUGCACAAAGCCCUGGGUUCAAUCCCCAGCGCCA
rnacentral:tRNA from 1 species